AAAGUAGUCCCUCCGUCCCAAAAUUCUUGUCUUAGAUUUGUCUAGAUACGGAUGUAUCAAGUCACAUUUUAGUAUUAGAUACAUUCGUAUCUAGACAAAUCUAAGACAAGAAAUUUGGGACAGAGGGAGUAGUCG
rnacentral:pre_miRNA from 1 species